UUUAGAUGAGAUUACAGCUGCACUAGUGAGCCGUUUUGAGCUUAAUUUUACAAGACAGGACACUGCUUCUCUGUGGUUUCUCUGUAAGCAGGUGGCUUUGCUGGAGUGGACAGAUGACUUGGAGGUGUUUAUAUUGAAGGGUUAUGGUAAAUCAAUAAACUAUCGAAUGGGAGUCCCACUGCUUGAAGAUGUUGUUCAGUCCAUGGAGCAAGCUAGUAAGGCACAGGAAGGUAAUACAACUAUACAAGUCAUCAAAGUAUUAGCUGUAUUUUUUCUUUUAAUAUUUUUUAUUUAUUUUUUUAUGGCUUGACACCCUUGUAUGUUGCCCCUGCCUUUUAACUGAUUCCUUCUGCACCUUCUGGAUGGAGAAGGCUUGAAACCUUGAACUUACAUAAAGAUUUGUAAAUAUGGAGGAUGCUUGGCAGAAGUUAUUAGAACACACAUUAAGAAACCACAACUACAUGCCAUGGCAGCAAUUACUUGACUGGCUUUCCACAGAAGAAUUUCCUCACAUUGCAUGAUUACUUUGAGACUGUCGCCAGAAGAUUCAUACAAAGGUACUUCU